CCUGGCGGCACUAGCGCGGUGGUCCCACCUGACCCCAUGCCGAACUCAGAAGUGAAACGCCGUAGCGCCGAUGGUAGUGUAGGGUCUCCCCAUGCGAGAGUAGGGAACUGCCAGGC
rnacentral:rRNA from 5 species